rnacentral:rRNA from 1 species
AUUGAACGCUGGCGGCAGGCUUAACACAUGCAAGUCGAGCGAGCGGCGGACGGGUGAGUAAUGUCUGGGAAACUGCCUGAUGGAGGGGGAUAACUACUGGAAACGGUAGCUACUACCGCAUACCAUCAGAUGUGCCCAGAUGGGAUUAGCUAGUAGGUGGGGUAAUGGCUCACCUAGGCGACGAUCCCUAGCUGGUCUGAGAGGAUGACCCGCCACACUGGAACUGAGACACGGGCCCGACUCCGACGGGAGGCAGCAGUGGGGAAGAUUGCCCAAUGGGCGAAAGCCGUAUGCAGCCAUGACGCGUGGUUGAAGAAGGCCGUCGGGGUGGAAAGCACUUUCAGCGAGGAGGCGUUACUCGCAGAAGAAGCACCGGCUAACUCCGUGCCAGCAGCCGCGGUAAUAC